rnacentral:lncRNA from 10 species
AAAGAAAAUUUCAGCAUGUUUAGAAGGUAUUCAAGUGAAACCUCCAGGGAUUCCUCAAGGCCUGCCAUUUCAUUUCACAUCAAUUUUCUCAAAUUUUAUGGGAUAAUCACUGUGAAAAAAACAUUUUAAAUGGUCCAUUUUCAAGGCAUGAUAAAUCUAACUACUGGCAGCCAGCCUAAGGAUGUAAAAAACCACACAGCUUGUGCACCUGGAAAGUCACGAUAAGCGAACAGACUGUAAAGGAGAGGUCAGCCCAUAAAAGGGAAGAAAGUUUCAUUAUUGGGAAAUCAAACUUAAGCUGGGAAGGCGAUGGGAGGGUAUAACCUUAUAAGGGGGGUAAUAAAACUUAGGCUUUGUCUGGAAAGAUUGUAACCCGAUAGUACUCGACCAGUGAGGAACUGGGGCAGGGACUUGCAUGCUAGGAGAUAAAUUACAUGCUGAUUUAUCAUUAGGAGAUAAAUUAGGAGAUUGGGUGUGCCUGCCUACCAGACACCCAAUCUUGCAAGACCACCAUGCAAAGUCUUGCUUCCACUGUUCUUUGUGUCUCCAAGUCCAUUCUUUGAGUUUGGAUGGGUGAAUGUGUUUCUCACAAUCACUUUCUAAAGAAGGCAUAAAUGAAUAUUACUGCCAUUCUCCAGCCUCUGUCCCUAUUAUCCACCUCUAGCCUACAUGUCAUGUUCUGGCCAAACAGAAAAGAAGGUUGAACUCCAGGGAAUAAAAAAGCAUGGUUAACUAGAAAUACGACCAGUAAUACCCAAGCCCUGUUAGUAUGUUCCCUUUGCAUUAUUUGUGGAUAAAGCACUUUUCAACAAGAUGUGGAAGUAUAAUAUUCUUACAUUUAUGCCUGAAGUUAUUAACCAGUAAUUGUUCCAAGUGACUUUUUUUGAAUGACAUUUAAUGGGACUAUACAGAUAAUUUCAUACUAUCCAUGUUUUUACCCAACUGAGGAACUAUUUACAAGAUCAGACUGCAAACAGAAAAUAAAUCUGUGUACAAAAAAAUGAUUUAGAAUUCAGAGAUAUCCUUCAUUCCUUUCUCUCCUUACCCCUUACAUUCCGUUCAUCAGUAUCUUCUAAAAUUUUACCUACAGAAAAUCACUUGAUCAGUCAAUUUUUUUCCAUUUCAUUAUUAUAAUGCUAAUCCAAGCCACCAUCAUGUUAUACUUGGACCUGAAUUGAUCUCUCGCCUCUCUGCAAU